rnacentral:rRNA from 1 species
UACGUAGGGGGCAAGCGUUGUCCGGAUUUAUUGGGCGUAAAGAGCGUGUAGGCGGCCAGACAGGUCAGCUGUGAAAACUCGAGGCUCAACCUCGAGACGUCGGUUGAAACCGUCUGGCUAGAGUCCGGAAGAGGAGAGUGGAAUUCCCGGUGUAGCGGUGAAAUGCGCAGAUAUCGGGAAGAACACCCGUGGCGAAGGCGGCUCUCUGGGACGGUACUGGACGCUGAGACGCGAAAAGCGUGGGGAGCGAACGAGG